rfam:Gavia stellata contig43175, whole genome shotgun sequence.
CGUCAGCCCCGUCAAAUUCAGCGCCAUCCGCUGUGGUUGGUGCUGGCCCAGCCAGCUGCUACGGAAAUACCUGCAGGUCAUGGGAUCACAGGAUGGUUUGGGUCGGAAGGGACCUUUGAAGACCA